rnacentral:rRNA from 1 species
GCGAUGAAACUACUUCGGUAGUGAAUUAGCGGCGAACGGGUGAGGAACACGUGAGGAAUCUGCCUUCUACACUGGGAUAACUCCGGGAAACCGGGGCUAAUACCGGAUAUGAAACUUGGUGGCAUCACCGAGUUUGGAAAGUUUUUCGGUAGAAGAUGACCUCGCGGCCUAUCAGCUUGUUGGUGAGGUAAUGGCUCACCAAGGCGACGACGGGUAGCCGGCCUGAGAGGGCGACCGGCCACACUGGGACUGAGACACGGCCCAGACUCCUACGGGAGGCAGCAGUGGGGAAUAUUGGGCAAUGGAGGAAACUCUGACCCAGCGACGCCGCGUGCGGGAUGAAGGCCUUCGGGUUGUAAACCGCUUUCAGUAGGGAAGAAGCGAAAGUGACGGUACCUACAGAAGAAGCACCGGCUAACUAUGUGC